ensembl:lncRNA
GGCGGGGCUAAAGGGCUUAAUCCUCGUGGCCCGAAUUAGGAUAGGAUAACAGCAGCCGCGGCAACAACCAAUCAGAAGGCGCGAUGCAGAUAGCGGUUCUCAAGCCGCCAAUGGGCGGGCGAGGCUCGGAGUUGGGGGAAUGCUAUCAGCUGCUGCAUUUGACGAAAGCUGCAGGUACACCGCUCUCCCUGUCUUAUAAUUGCAAGAGAAAGAGGACACACAUUAAAGUGUGUGGAGGAGGCAAUCCCAGCGUCACAGAGGACGUGGGAGCUGCUGCUAUAGGUGCUCCUGCCCGUCUUCUGCUUGUUGUGGGACUGUUCGGUGCUCUGGAG